rnacentral:rRNA from 1 species
AAGUUCUGGAAAUAAAAAGCCCUGCAUGUCUAAGUUCACACUUGGCCGCGACAGUGAAACUGUUAAUGGCUCAUUAAAUCUUUUAUGGUUCCUUUGUUCUCUCCCCCGUUACUCCCAUUUUUGGGGUAAUUCUAGAGCUAAUACAUGCCGACUAGCGCCGACCUCCGGGGAUGCGUGCUUUUAUUCCACCCUCUCUAACCCGGGCUCGCCCCGGCCGUUUUGUUGACUUUAUAUAAUCUCUGGCCGAUCGCACUUCCCCGUGGUUUUUACCACUCAUUCAAACGUCUGCCCUAUCAUCUUUCGAUGGUACUUUCUGCUCCUACCAUGGUGACCACUGGUAACGGGUAAUCUGGGUCCCACU